UGGGGAAUUUUGGACAAUGGGCGCAAGCCUGAUCCAGCCAUGCCGCGUGUCUGAAGAAGGCCUUCGGGUUGUAAAGGACUUUUGUCAGGGAAGGAAAGGAUAGGGUUAAUACCCCUGUCUGAUGACGGUACCUGAAGAAUAAGCACCGGCUAACUACGUGCCAGCAGCCGCGGUAAUACGUAGGGUGCGAGCGUUAAUCGGAAUUACUGGGCGUAAAGCGGGCGCAGACGGUUACUUAAGCAGGAUGUGAAAUCCCCGGGCUCAACCUGGGAACUGCGUUCUGAACUGGGUGACUAGAGUGUGUCAGAGGGAGGUAGAAUUCCACGUGUAGCAGUGAAAUGCGUAGAGAUGUGGAGGAAUACCGAUGGCGAAGGCAGCCUCCUGGGAUAACACUGACGUUCAUGCCCGAAAGCGUGGGUAGCAAACAGGAUUAGAUACCCUGGUAGUCCACGCCCUAAACGAUGUCGAUUAGCUGUUGGGCAGCUUGACUGCUUAGUAGCGAAGCUAACGCGUGAAAUCGACCGCCUGGGGAGUACGGUCGCAAGAUUA
rnacentral:rRNA from 1 species